AUUGUCCAGUGAGCUGCAACCAGCCCUAAGCAAAGCCGUGCGUGGGCUCCUAAGGCAGCCCCGAAACACAGCAGGGACCGCGCUACGCAAACGCGGGGCCGUUCAAAGCUGGGUUCCCUGAACCUCAAGCUUGGGUGGAGAAUGAAGGAGAGGGCGGAUGCAAGUCUUCAGUUGUGCUUCCGCUGAUUUGGUUUGAGUAUUAGGCUUCCUUUCGAUGAAGUGAGGCCUGGGUAGCAUCUGGCCCCUGCAACCUUAACUUGUUAGCACUCUAAGCUAACAAAUUGAGCACCUAAAUGCAGACACGAGCAGAUGGUGUUGCAGGCACUCAGUACCCGCAGGGAGCCUUGCACCCCGUCUGGCUUUGGAGUUAUCACGCCACGCCGGGGUCAGCAGACAGGCUGUUGACGGGAUCGCAAGUUCAGAAGCGCGCGUCCGUCAAGCGGGAAGAGUCCGGACUCCAUAUUGACAUCUUCCAGGCCAGCGCGUUCCAUUCCAAGUGGUGGGAGCAUUAGCACCAGCAGGUGGAAUCGGUUCCUCCAACGGUUUAGGACGAGUGUGCCGGACACGCUGUUGCUUCCUGCGGAUCACACACCAGCCUUCUCCACUCCGCUCGCAGCCCAGCGUCACAGCUGCGUGGACAGGGCUGCCCGUUGGAGUUGGCCAAUGGAGGCAGGGGGGAGGGGAGGGUGGGCGAGGGAGGCCCCGGUGGGCAAUGGCUGCAUUCCUCUACCAGGGGCUGCACUCAGACCCUGCACCCUCUCCUCCGGCUCAACUCUGAGCUUCCAUAACCCCCUCCUCUCCUUGUCCUGUCAUGCCUAGGGAGGCGGUGGCUUCCCGCUGUCCUUAGUCCCGGGGCAGGGAUUUCACCCUCCCUUGUUGGAUCACCUUGACCCUGUCAAGAAAGUCCCUUGGUCACGCUCUCCUAGAUUAUCCUGGUGUCAUUGAGCCAUCUGUCUCUUGCUAGAACCCUGACUGACACAGGCAGGAAAAACCUAUUGAGAGCUUCUGGGUAAGUUGUCUCCACGUUGUCUGCCAGUUGAGCCUUAGUUCCUCUGCCAGGUAGAUCUGUUCACUCUGCAAACAUUUAC
rnacentral:lncRNA from 1 species